GCACAGCAAUGUGAGUGGCGCAAGGGUGAGUAAUGCGAAGGUAACCAACCCUGGAGUUGGGCAUAGCCGCGGGAAACUGCGGGUAAUUCCCAGCGAUGUUACGAGGUGGCAUCAUCUUGUAACCAAAGGUGUGAUUCCGCUCUGGGACGGGCCUUCGUGGUAUUAGCUAGUUGGUAAGGUAACGGCUUACCAAGGCUACGAUGCCUACCGGGUGUGAGAGCAUGACCCGGCACACUGGAACUGAGACACUGUCCAGACACCUACGGGUGGCUGCAGUCGAGAAUCUUCGGCAAUGGGCGAAAGCCUGACCGAGCGACGCCGCGUGAGGGAUGAAGGCCUUCGGGUUGUAAACCUCUUUCGUAGAGGAGGAAGGGGCUGUGAAGAGCAGUCCUUGACCUAUUCUAGGAAGAAGCUUGGGCUAAGUUCGUGCCAGCAGCCGCGGUAAGACGAACCAAGCGAACGUUAUUCGGAAUUACUGGGCUUAAAGCGCGUGUAGGCGGAUGGCCACGUCGGUUGUUGAAAUCCCCCGGCUUAACCGGGGAACAGGCACCGAUACGAGUUAUCUGGAGGUGGGUAGGGGAGACUGGAACUUCCGGUGGAGCGGUGAAAUGCGUUGAGAUCGGAAGGAAUGCCUGCGGCGAAAGCGAGUCUCUGGCCCCAUACUGACGCUGAGACGCGAAAGCCAGGGGAGCAAACGGGAUUAGAUACCCCGGUAGUCCUGGCUGUAAACAUUGGGCACUGGGUAGUAGAACCGCCGAUGGUUUUAC
rnacentral:rRNA from 1 species